rnacentral:lncRNA from 1 species
UUAUUGUGUGCCUUCAUAAAUAUUGUGUAUAUUUAUAUUCCAUAUGAUUUCAGUGUCAUUCCUCAGUUAUCAGAACAUUCAGAGGAAAUCAGGUUCUUUGUGAAUCUGUUCUGUGCAGCAGCAGAGAGAGAACAGCAGACAGGAGAGAAGAUACUGGAGCUGUUAUCAUCAGUGUACAAAUACAAAGGAUUCCUUCUUAAAGAGCUAUGGUGUGAUUUCCUGCUGGAUGUGUACUCUUAUCAAACUAAAACAGGCUUGAGUGUCCUUCCAUCAUUACAGUCAGUUUUCCAGUCAGCUCCUGCAGUCUGGUCCAUAAACCUCUCAGAGAGAAAGACCUCCAUCCUCCUGGAAGUGCUGAAACUCCAACCAGAGAAGAAACAUGUGGAGCUGACAGGCUGCUCAUAUGAAGAGAGUGAAGUGAGGAGCUUCCUGCAGUGUCUGCCUUAUAUCACAGAACUCAGUUUCAAGCCUCAGGCAUCAGAACCCUCAGAAGAAACCAGGUUCUUUGUGAAUCUGUUCUGUGCAGCAGCAGAGAGAGAACAGCAGACAGGAGAGAAGAUACUGGAGCUGUUAUCAUCAGUGUGCAGCUAUCAAACAUUCACUCUUAAACAGAAGUGGUGCGAUUUUCUACUUGACUUGUACCCCAGUGUGUUUGAAAUGGGUUUGAGUGCCCCAUCAUCAUUACAGUCAGUUUUCCAGUCAGCUCCUGCAGUCUGGUUCAUAAACCUCUCAGAGAGAAAGACCUCCAUCCUCCUGAAAGUGCUGAAACUCCAACCAGAGAAGAAACAGCUAAAUAUCACAGGCUGGUCACAUGAGGAAAAUGAAGAGAGGCAUUUCCUUCAGUGUCUGCCUUAUAUCUCACAGCUCAGUUUUGUUACUACAUCAUCAGAAUCAUCAGAAGCAGUCAGGUUCUUUGGGAAUCUGUUCUGUGCAGCAGCAGAGAGAAAACAGCAGACAGGAGAGAAGAUACUGGAGCUGUUAUCAUCAGUGUGCAGCUAUAAAGGAUUCCCUCUGAAGGAGAUAUGGUGCGAUUUUCUCAUGGACCUGUACUAUUAUACAACAAAAACAGGCUUGAGUGUCCUUCCAUCAUUACAGUCAGUUUUCCAGUCAGCUCCUGCAGUCUGGUUCAUAAACCUCUCAGAGAGAAAGACCUCCAUCCUCCUGGAAGUGCUGAAACUCCAACCAGAGAAGAAACAAGUGGCGCUGACAGGCUGCUCACAUGAAGAGAGUGAAGUGAGGAGUUUCCUGCAGUGUCUGCCUUAUAUCUCACAGCUCAGGUAAACUAUUUCUAACACCCCUUUCAAUAAUUGGGAUACAAAUUUUAAUGUUUACCUGUGUGCUAAGAUAAUAGCUAAGGUUCGACUACUAGAGCAAAGUGGAUGACUAAUGAA